rnacentral:rRNA from 1 species
GACGAACGCUGGCGGCGUGCCUAAUACAUGCAAGUAGAACGCACAGUUUAUACCGUAGCUUGCUACACCAUAAACUGUGAGUUGCGAACGGGUGAGUAACGCGUAGGUAACCUGCCUGGUAGCGGGGGAUAACUAUUGGAAACGAUAGCUAAUACCGCAUAAUAUUGAUUAUUGCAUGAUAAUUGAUUGAAAGAUGCUAUUGCAUCACUACCAGAUGGACCUGCGUUGUAUUAGCUAGUAGGUGAGGUAACGGCUCACCUAGGCGACGAUACAUAGCCGACCUGAGAGGGUGAUCGGCCACACUGGGACUGAGACACGGCCCAGACUCCUACGGGAGGCAGCAGUAGGGAAUCUUCGGCAAUGGACGAAAGGCUGAACGAGCAACGCCGCGUGAGUGAAGAAGGUUUUCGGAUCGUAAAGCUCUGUUGUAAGAGAAGAACGGGUGUGAGAGUGGAAAGUUCACACUGUGACGGUAUCUUACCAGAAAGGGACGGCUAACUACGUG